GCAACGCCUCCAUAACCAUCAGAAAUACGACGAGGGCUGACAGAGGAGAAUACAGAUGUAUUGUUCCAUUAAUUCAGAAACCUCAAAUAUUCUACAUUAAGCUUGUUGUUGUUGGUUCAACUCCAGAGUCAAAUGAACUCCAUUCAUUAAUGAUAGAAAGGCUCUGAUAAUGUCUGUGUUGCUGGAAACAUUUAUUUAGUCUUCAGUUAUUUUAUGCUUGUGUUAUAUCACAAUGUAUAGGUUCAUUGAUUUAGUCUUGCAGUUCUAGUUGAUUGUGUAACUGUUUGUAAGACUUGUACAGUAUUCCUGUUCCAGAGGUGUGUAGAGCAGAGAGGACCAGAUCAACAUGAUGAUGCUCUUAGAAGUCUUGUAUUUUUGUAUUCAGACCAAAUUACAAAGUUUGCUGUGAUGAUGUGAAGUGUGAAAUAUUGUG